GACGAACGCUGGCGGCGUGCCUAACACAUGCAAGUCGAGCGGAGUCGAUCGACGGAAGCCUUCGGGCGGAAGAUGGUUGACUUAGCGGCGGAUGGGUGAGUAACGCGUGGGCAACCUGCCUCGAAGACCGGGAUAACAGCCCGAAAGGGCUGCUAAUACCGGAUGUGGUCAAGGAUCCGCAUGGAUUUUUGAUUAAAGGGGAAACCCGUUUCGAGAUGGGCCCGCGUCCUAUCAGCUAGUUGGUGAGGUAAAAGCUCACCAAGGCGACGACGGGUAGCCGGCCUGAGAGGGUGACCGGCCACGACUGGAACUGAGACACGGUCCAGACUCCUACGGGGGCAGCAGUGGGGAAUCUUCCACAAUGGGCGAAAGCCUGAUGGAGCGACGCCGCGUGAGCGAAGAAGGCCUUCGGGUUGUAAAGCUCUGUCUGGAGGGACGAAGGAAGUGACGGUACCUCCGGAGGAAGCCACGGCUAACUAACGUGCCAGCGACGCCGACGGUAAGGAUCACGUGUA
rnacentral:rRNA from 1 species